rnacentral:rRNA from 1 species
GACGAACGCUGGCGGCGUGCUUAACACAUGCAAGUCGAACGGAAAGGCCCUGCUUUUGUGGGGUGCUCGAGUGGCGAACGGGUGAGUAACACGUGAGUAACCUGCCCUUGACUUUGGGAUAACUUCAGGAAACUGGGGCUAAUACCGGAUAGGAGCUCCUGCUGCAUGGUGGGGGUUGGAAAGUUUCGGCGGUUGGGGAUGGACUCGCGGCUUAUCAGCUUGUUGGUGGGGUAGUGGCUUUCCAAGGCUUUGACGGGUAGCCGGCCUGAGAGGGUGACCGGCCACAUUGGGACUGAGAUACGGCCCAGAAUCCUACGGGCGGCAGCAGUGGGGAAUAUUGCACAAUGGGCGGAAGCCAGAUGCAGCAACGCCGCGUGCGGGAUGACGGCCUUCGGGUUGUAAACCGCUUUCGACUGUGACGAAGCGUGAGUGACGGUAAUGGGUAAGGAAGCACCGGCUAACUACGUG